rnacentral:lncRNA from 1 species
GAGCGACACCAUUUUCGCAAAUCCAAGGAUGACCUGCAGAAAGUUAGAGGAUAUUGUAAUAUGAACAUUAGUUCAUUCACCUGCAUAAUGAUAUAGAUGUAUGCACAAGUAUACUGUAUAGAUGCAAUUUGAGAAUAAAUGAAGCUAAACAAAAAUAUCGGUUUUCUUGAACAUAGAUGUAUGCACAGGUAUACUAUAUAGAUGCAAUUUCAGAAUAAAUGAAGCUAAACAAAAAUAUUCCAUCAACUGAAAAAAUAAAGGUUGCUAUUACUACUUAAUAAGGUAAACAUACACAAUAC